GCAUGGUGCCGAACACCUCACACAGGAAGGUGAUGAAGCCGAGCCAGCGUUCCACGUCCUGCUGCUGAAGCUCUUCCCGCACGGUGAAGUCCUUCUGAAACAUUUUGGGAAGCAGGCUCC